UUGUCUUAAAGGGGCAGGGACUCGGAUCCGCAGCUACCUGGGGCCCAGACUCGGUCUCCUGCUCCGACCCCCUUUAAGGGGAGAUGAGGUCUCAGUAUGAGGUCCCAGUAGGUCUCUCAGCCUGCUCACUUCCUUGGCCUCAGAGACACAGACAGAGUCCAAGUAUUAAUGCACUCAGAGUCCUUUUGCAACCUAAUUCUUCUGGCCCACCUCAUCCUCCCACUGCUCUUGAACACACGCUUGCGGGCACGCUGUAGCUGCCACCGUUAGCAAAAUUUGAAGAGCCGUGUCUCGUAGCGUGCGAGCUCGCUGCUGCUGGGAAACGCCCGCUGCUAUCCCCUUGACCCUGCCCUGUAACUGACCCUUGGAAAAAGCGCCCCCCUCCCAGCACAACUACUGCGCAUGCUCUGAGCUGGACAGCUUAAAAAUGGCUGUAGCUAGGACCCUGGCCCAAUAGCGAAAAGCUAGGGACUAGCGCGAGGGAGUCCCCUCCAGAACCUCCGCGCGCCCCGGGGGCGCCAGCUUAGGCAGCCCCGCGAGAUCGGCUGCGGGUACCGCCUCGCAGUCUCGGCUUUGCGCUCUCCUCCGGGGCAGCGCCCUGGACUGCACUUCCAGGGUAAAGACCCCCGCGCAGGGAUGCAGGGGACUCCCACUGCUUCUCUUUUUUCUUUCCUGGGGUUUCCCCUAACGACUUUGGGGGCGGAAUUAAUCAGAGUCUUUGCUGCUGCCGGUCCUCCUCCCCCCACAGUUCUAUCAGUCUUAAGCUCACUUUGUAGCCCAUGCUGGUCUCAAACUCACAAAGAUCCUCCUGCCUCAGCCUCCCACGUGCUGGGACUACAGGCAUGUGCCACCACACCUGGCUCUAAAAUUCUGUUAUAGAUGAAAAUAAACAGCAAUGGACUGCAGGUAAA